AGCGAAUAGAUACCCAGGUAGUCCACGCCGUAAACGAUGGAUGCUAGCUGUUAUGAGUAUCGACCCUCGUAGUAGCGUAGCUAACGCGUUAAGCAUCCCGCCUGUGGAGUACGGUCGCAAGACUAAAACAUAAAGGAAUUGACGGGGACCCGCACAAGCGGUGGAGCGUGUUGUUUAAUUCGAUGGUAAGCGAAGAACCUUACCCAGGCUUGACAUCCUGCCAAGUUCGCCGAAAGGCGAGUGUGCCUUCGGGCCGCAGUGACAGGUGAUGCAUGGCCGUCGUCAGCUCGUGUCGUGAGAUGUUUGGUUAAGUCCAUCAACGAGCGCAACCCUUAUAGUUAGUUGUAUUUCUCUAGCUAGACUGCCCUGGUAACAGGGAGGAAGGGGGGAUGAUGUCAGGUCAGUAUUUCCCUUACGUCUGGGGCUACAACACGCUACAAUGGCCGGUACAAAGGGCUGCCAACCCGCGAGGGGGAGCAAAUCCCAUCAAAGCCGGUCUCAGUUCGGAUUGUAGGCUGAAACUCGCCUGC
rnacentral:rRNA from 1 species